rnacentral:rRNA from 1 species
UGGGGAAUAUUGGACAAUGGGCGCAAGCCUGAUCCAGCAAUGCCGCGUGAGUGAUGAAGGCCUCGGGUCGUAAAGCUCUUUUACCAGGGAUGAUAAUGACAGUACCUGGAGAAUAAGCUCCGGCUAACUCCGUGCC